GCGCAGCAGGCGCGAAACCUCCGCAAUGCGCGAAAGCGCGACGGGGUUACCCCGAGUGCCGUCCGCUGAGGACGGCUUUUGCCCAGUGUAGCCAGCUGGGCGAAUAAGGAGAGGGCAAGUCUGGUGUCAGCCGCCGCGGUAAUACCAGCUCUCCGAGUGGUGGGGACGCUUAUUGGGCCUAAAGCAUCCGUAGCCGGUCUGGCAAGUCCCUUGUUAAAUCCAACGAUUCAAUCGUUGGACUGCAAGGGGAUACUGCCAGACUAGGGGGCGGGAGAGGCCGACGGUAUUCCCCGGGGUAGGGUGAAAUCCUAUAAUCCCCGGGAGGACCACCAGUGGCGAAGGCUGUCGGCUAGAACGCGCCCGACGGUGAGGGAUGAAAGC
rnacentral:rRNA from 1 species